CCUCGGAGCCCGCGGAAGGGCCCGGCUCCGCCCGGGCUGCGGCGCCUGUUUUCCCCCUCUUAAAUGAGGCCGAGAGGUUGCUGUUCUUCUAUUUUUAAACUGCGUGCUACUCGGUGGAGAAAAGAGCGAAAUCACCCUGAGCCCCACAGCACUCUGAAUGAGUGCAGCAAGAGGAGGGAAAACAGCACUGGCUUGCUUUUGGACCAAGAUCAAAAGGAGAAACUGGAAACAACUGGAUUUGGGAUCAAAAUAAUUGCCUUGAGACCGAAGUGCAGCUGCAGUGUGCAUUCCAGAUGUGAGAUGAAGCAGCGUGUUACAGUACCUAAUGAGACCUCAAUCUUGCAGGAGCAUCAUACAUUCUGUGACUCAUCUAGCUUCUUUUCCAGCAGAUGGUGAUGACGGCUUUUUACCUCCAUUUUGGAUGACUGAUGAAGACAUGACUGGUCCAGGUUUUCAAAGGCCAGAUAGUCUGAGUCCUCACAGAAGAAAAAGGC